rnacentral:rRNA from 1 species
GUAGGGAAUAUUGGGCAAUGGUCGGAAGACUGACCCAGCCAUGCCGCGUGCAGGAAGACGGCCCUCUGGGUUGUAAACUGCUUUUAUCUGGGAAGAAAAAGGCCAUGCGUGGCAAAUUGCCGGUACCAGAUGAAUAAGCACCGGCUAACUCCGUGCCAGCAGCCGCGGUAAUACGGAGGGUGCGAGCGUUGUCCGGAUUUAUUGUGUUUAAAGGGCGCGUAGGCGGCUGAUUAAGUCAGCGGUGAAAGACUUCGGCUUAACCGGAGCAGUGCCGUUGAUACUGGUUGGCUUGAGUGUCGGAGGGGUACAUGGAAUUGAUGGUGUAGCGGUGAAAUGCAUAGAUACCAUCAGGAACACCGAUAGCGAAGGCAUUGUACUGGCCGACAACUGACGCUGAUGCACGAAAGUGUGGGGAUCGAACAGGAUUAGAAACCCGGGUAGUCC